GGGGAAUAUUGCACAAUGGGGGAAACCCUGAUGCAGCGACGCCGCGUGAGUGAAGAAGUAUUUCGGUAUGUAAAGCUCUAUCAGCAGGGAAGAUAAUGACGGUACCUGACUAAGAAGCCCCGGCUAACUACGUGCCAGCAGCCGCGGUAAUACGUAGGGGGCAAGCGUUAUCCGGAUUUACUGGGUGUAAAGGGUGCGUAGGUGGCAAGGCAAGUCAGAUGUGAAAGCCCGGGGCUCAACCCCGGUAUUGCAUUUGAAACUGUUUAGCUAGAGUGCAGGAGAGGUAAGUGGAAUUCCUAGUGUAGCGGUGAAAUGCGUAGAUAUUAGGAGGAACACCAGUGGCGAAGGCGGCUUACUGGACUGUAACUGACACUGAGGCACGAAAGCGUGGGGAGCAAAC
rnacentral:rRNA from 1 species